rnacentral:misc_RNA from 1 species
GAUGAAGAACGUAGCGAAAUGCGAUAAGUAGUGUGAAUUGCAGAAUUCAGUGAAUCAUCGAAUCUUUGAACGCACAUUGCGCCCUUUGGUAUUCCAAAGGGCAUGCCUGUUCGAGCGUCAUUUGUACCCUCAAGCUUUGCUUGGUGUUGGGCGUCUUGUCUCUAGCUUUGCUGGAGACUCGCCUUAAAGUAAUUGGCAGCCGGCCUACUGGUUUCGGAGCGCAGCACAAGUCGCACUCUCUAUCAGCAAAGGUCUAGCAUCCAUUAAGCCUUUUUUUUUCAACUUUUGACCUCGGAUCAGGUAGGGAUACCCGCUGAACUUAAGCAUAUCAAUAAGCGGAGGA